rnacentral:rRNA from 1 species
AGCAUCUAAGUGUGAAGCCCACCUCAAGAUGAGAUUUCCCAUUUCUUUAAGAAAGUAAGAUCCCUGAGAGAUGAUCAGGUAGAUAGGUCAGGAGUGGAAGUGCAGUGAUGUACGGAGCGGACUGAUACUAAUCGAUCGAGGACUUAACCA